UUUUGCCAGCAGCAAGCAAAUGAAACGGCGACGGCUCAUCAUCGGUGGCUAUACUGCUUCUCUGACUGGCUCAUCAUCGCCUCGGGGGUAGCCAUACUCAACUCUCUCGAUGGACACGGCGACGGCAAACAAGAGGUAACACUAAUGCAAGAAGAUCAAUUGCGCUCCAGCAAAUAGGUGCGCACUGAGAAAAUAUAAGCUACAAGAUAGCCAGGUUGAGUUUCCGAAAGAUCUGGUUGCGGAUCUUCCUCAGACGGAUGUUGAUUGUCAAAUUCGUAUCAAGAUAAGAGCAAUUGCUGAAAGGGGACCUGAUGUUCCUCCUGCAGCAGCAGAGACCGAAUCAUGCUCCUGCAGCCCCUGCAGGGCAAGCAAGCUAAGGGGCAUUUACUCAAUGGAUCAUGCUAAUUAUGUGAAAUGGGCAUCUAGACUUGGCCGAGCAUCACAAUAACCUCGCCGAAGUUGCUCAUUCGGUGAUUAUGAAUUUUAAUUCCUAUCUGAAAUGUUCUACGUUCCUUUCCUUUGUUUUUUUUAAAAGACUCCUUGCCAUUAUAUAUAUGCAUGUCUUAUGACUCAGAUGUACAAAUAUACCUUGUAAGAUGCCGUUACCCCAUAGCAUAUGGGGAUCCUUCAAAUUAAAAAAAUAUUCAAUACAAAUGUUGCUCAUAUUUCAAAAUUGUAAUAUAAACCCUACUUUCUUAGAAAAAAUACUGUUUUGUAAUGGUUCAA